rnacentral:rRNA from 1 species
UUGAACGCUGGCGGAAUGCUUUACACAUGCAAGUCGAGCGGCAGCGCGGGGCAACCUGGCGGCGAGCGGCGAACGGGUGAGUAACACAUCGGAACGUACCCAAUCGUGGGGGAUAACACAUCGAAAGAUGUGCUAAUACCGCAUAAGUCCUGAGGGAGAAAGCGGGGGAUCAGCAAUGACCUCGCGCGGAUGGAGCGGCCGAUGUCGGAUUAGCUAGUUGGUGGGGUAAAGGCUCACCAAGGCGACGAUCAGUAGCGGGUCUGAGAGGAUGAUCCGUCACACUGGAACUGAGACACGGUCCAGACUCCUACGGGAGGCAGCAGUGGGGAAUUUUGGACAAUGGGGGCAACCCUGAUCCAGCCAUUCCGCGUGAGUGAAGAAGGCCUUCGGGUUGUAAAGCUCUUUCAGCCGGAACGAAACGGUACGCUCUAACAUAGCGUGCGAAUGACGGUACCGGCAGAAGAAGCACCGGCUAACUACGU